GCACCAGUGGUGAAGAGGCAGCAUGCGAGCUUUCCAAGCUUGUGACCUGGGUUCGAGUCCCAGCUGGUGCA